rnacentral:rRNA from 1 species
GAUGAACGCUGGCGGCGUGCCUAAUACAUGCAAGUCGAGCGAACGGACGAGACGCUUGCUUCUCUGAUGUUAGCGGCGGACGGGUGAGUAACACGUGGAUCACCUACCUAUCAGACUGGGAUCACUUCGGGAAACCGGCGCUAAUCCCGUAUGAUCUUUUGCUCCGCAUGGUUCAAAAGUGAAAGACGGUCUUGCUGUCACUUCUCGAUGCAUCCGCGCUGCAUUAGCUAGUUGUUAAGGUAACGGCUUACCAAGGCAACGAUGCCUAGCCGACCUGACAGGGGGAUAGCACACACGAGAACUGAGACGCGGUCAAGACUACUAAGGGAGGCAGCAGAAGGGAAUCGGACGCAGUGGGCGAGAACAUGACGGAGCAACGCGGCGUGAGAGAUGAAGGUGUUCGGGUCGGAAAAAUCUGUUACUAGGGAAGAACAGAUGUGGAAGGAAAUGUGCAGAGAGUGACGGUACCUAAUAAGAAAGCAACGGCUAACUACGUG